UCUCCGUAGGUGAACCUGCGGAGGGAUCAUUACACAAUAACAAGGCGGGCUGGACACCCCCAGCCGGGCACUGCUUCACGGCGUGCGCGGCUGGGCCGGCCCUGCUGAAUUAUUCACCCGUGUCUUUUGCGUACUUCUUGUUUCCUGGGUGGGCUCGCCCGCCAUCAGGACCAACCACAAACCUUUUGCAAUAGCAAUCAGCGUCAGUAACAACGUAAUUAAUUACAACUUUCAACAACGGAUCUCUUGGUUCUGGCAUCGAUGAAGAACGCAGCGAAAUGCGAUACGUAGUGUGAAUUGCAGAAUUCAGUGAAUCAUCGAAUCUUUGAACGCACAUUGCGCCCUUUGGUAUUCCAAAGGGCAUGCCUGUUCGAGCGUCAUUUGUACCCUCAAGCUUUGCUUGGUGUUGGGCGUCUUUUGUCUCCAGUUCGCUGGAGACUCGCCUUAAAGUCAUUGGCAGCCGGCCUACUGGUUUCGGAGCGCAGCACAAGUCGCGCUCUUUGCCAGCCAAGGUCAGCGUCCAGCAAGCCUUUUUUUUCAACCUUUGACCUCGGAUCAGGUAGGGAUACCCGCUGAACUUAAGCAUAUCAU
rnacentral:rRNA from 1 species